rnacentral:lncRNA from 1 species
UUUAAAGAAUGGCCUUGGACCAGAAAAAAAGAACUAGUCCCUGAUUUUAUAAGAAACAAGUAAUUGGGCUCUAAGGCUUAAUGAAGAACAAUGCAGUUAGUUGAUCAUGGCAAUGAAGUCUCUCUUCUGAAGCCUGUCUCAAAUCAAUUCAAGCAAUAAAAGAAAGUUAGAUUUAUAACUGGCAAUGACUGAAUGUAGAGGGUUGAUGUCACAAAGACUAUCUCCACCUCUUCGUUAAGAAUUUUGUUUAGUGUCAACUUUAUUCACUGAGGGUACUUCCUCAAAAGGCUGAACCCAGGAAUGCUGGGAGCUUUUGGUUAACACCUUUAGACUAUUAGAAUCUGAAGGUAAGUAUACUUCUCUCUUACAUCUUCAGGUUGAAUAAACCUGCAAAGGAUUGAUAGCUUGGUUGUGAUUUCUUUUUGUUUAUUAAUUAAGCAACCAUAAUCCUGAGACUGUGACCUUAAAUACAGCAAAUGUAUUUGCUUCCAAGGUAGAGAAACUGGAAAACUCAAUGUUAAAUAAUGUCUCUUUAUGUAAUAUUGCAUUGUGUGUUAGGUAGUAGAUUGCACUGUGUGUUAGGAUGGGCUUGAUGAUAUACUUUUAAAAUACCACUUAAAUCUUAAAAAAUACUAUAUAUAUACGCACAUAUAUAUAUAUAUAUAACUCAACUAUACAUAUCUAAAAAACAAGUUGGCUAAGAGAUUCUCAUCUACAGAUUCAGGAAGAUGAGGCAGAUGUAGAUAUACUAUCUGGGAUAUAAGGCCCCUUUUAACAUGCAAGGGAGACCUGAUGAGACUUACUUUUGAAUUCAAAAUAAAUCUGUAACGAUGAAAAUUGUACACUACAUUUUAAAUAUUUCAACUGGAAAUGACACAUGCUACUUCCUCACAGCACAUUGGCCAAUUCUGAUUCUUAUUGACCCGUUUAACUAAAAGGGAAACAUGCGGGAAAGAAACUGAUGUCAUUCAAAGAGUAAAUAUCUCUACCACAUGCGGUGAUACAUUUUCAAAAAGACAGCAUCUGUUUAUAAAUCAAUGACAAAGAUGUCACCAUUCUUACCUUUUGAUAAUCAAAAUUCUUCAAUCAAUAAAAACCAGUUACCUUUCACUGAAAAGUCAAAAUUAAUCUUUGUAUCCAUAUAUGAUAUAUAGUUAGUAAAAUAUCAAUUUAUGUAUGGACAUGUUAUUAAUAUUGAUAAGUAAGUUGGAAGAGAACAUAUAAUCAGGAGAUAAACUAAUUAUAACAAGCUAUUUUUAAACAUGACUUUGACACUUUUUGUUAAUCAAUAUUUGCAGGGAUUUAGUUACUUCAAAUAAGCCUAUUUUGUCAUUUGAGAAGCAUUGCGUACUUCAUCCUGCCAAUAAGUAAAGUUUCAUUUAAAGUGCAGGCUUAAAUGUAUGGAUUCUUCUAUAAAGAGUAUAUUUAACAAAUUAUAUCAAGUGUUGGCAGAAAAUUUUAGCUCUAGGUACAAAAGGUGCAUUGCAGUGUAUAAAGAAACCUAGUAUAAAAAUAGUCAUAUAUAAUCAGGUAAAGAAAGAAACUGCUAUGACCUGGGUCUGGUUCAAGUUAAAUAAUAUUUGUAGUUAACAAAUAUUCUUUUCCCGCCCUUUCCUUACUGAAAAGAUUUUGAAUCCAAAAUAAAACAAGCCUGUAACAAUAAGGAUUAUUUGAAUAUUAAAAAAUUUUAAAACAUCACUUAACAAUGUUUUAAAAUACUUAAACUAGUACUAUUAAAACAUUCUACUAUUAGAAACACUAAUGAUAUGUCUGAUAUCACUUAUUUUUUUUCAAGACCAUUUGAAAUCAUUGGCAAACUAGAUAAUGCCAAACAUUUCUCCCUGUGGCCUUGGACCAACCCAGUUCUCCCUAGUUUCUUGCUUGCAGUUCUCAAGAAGAAACUCAGAAUGUGCUAGGAAUGCAACAUUCUGAGAUAAGAAGGGACGUUCUAGAACAGCCCGGUCUUAGUUCAAAUUUCUUUUAGAAACAGAACAUCCUUUCAUGCUUUCACCUAAGUUAUAAAACCCAGGGCGGGCUUUGCCAGAUCAUCAGCUGUGGUGCAACAGGGUCUUGCACAGAUGAGAUUACAUCCACCCUGGGCAGCUUUCUUGAGCCUUGGGGGACCAGCUUAAUGAUGAACCCUAAUUUUCUGUUGUCCCUUGCUGCCUAUCUAAGACUGCGAGCGAUCUGAAUGCAACACUCGGAGCACUCAAAUGUGAGCAGAAAUACAGCUUUUCAUGUAAACUAAGUGAAGAAGGGUCUUGCUUUGUUGCCCAGCCUAGCGUGCAGUGGUGU